CUUCAAAAACACCACAUCACCACCUCCUUCAAUGGAAUAAACAUGAUCUUCAGCCGGAGAGGGUUACGUUCAGCUGUCUAUAUCUCCCUCUCCAUCCCCAUCCCGCCUCUGCAUUUCUCUCCCUGCCCUCUCAACCCUCGUCCCCACCUCCACCCCUGCCCCCGGUAUCUUCCGUCUCCAAUUCUCAAAGUUUCCUAGUAAGGACACCCAUGAAAAAAGGUUGUACAGACCUAUAGUACUCAGAGACCUCUUUCCAGUCGUAGCUUCUUCAGUGAAGCAGCUUAUGGAUAAACUAAAGAGAUGAUAGCCAUGGAAACUGAUUGGAUGGUUUUCUGGGAUCUGCAAGAGUGGGAUUGCGGAUCUCGCUGCAAUUAUAAGUUUGGUCUAUUGUGAUCUAGAGUCGCGGGUUCAAGGAAACAGCCUAUUUGUAAAGUGGGGUUCAAAAUUUUGUAGUUACAUGAAGCUCAAUAGUAGUUGACAUGCUCAGCAGCUGCUUGACGAAAUGGGUGAGAGAGAUCUUGAAUGGGUUUAUAAAUGAAUUAUGUGCUUUUAUAAAGUAGUUUAAAGACAAAGAAGGAUAUAUUGAUUUGGUCAGCAAUAACUCAUGGUAUUGCUAGCCAGUGGAUUCAGAAACUCAUCUCGAUGAGGCUCUUUCUCUCUCCCCCUUGUGGGAGUGUGCGUGCGUCUAUGUAUGUUUGUUAUUACUGACUGUGAAGUACCUUUAUACUUAUGGGCUUGUGUCUUUGACUCUUUCUGUGUUGCCUUGACUCUUAACUUCUUAAGUAUAGUGAGCCCAUCUUCAUUUUA